GUAUUGGUGAUCAUUUUAAGUUAGCUAAUGAUAAUUUAUAAAUAUAAUUAAUUUAUCGCAAAUCUAUACGCGGACAUUUAUUCAUCGCUUAUACCACUAUUUGUGUUCCCUUCCUGCUAGCUUCAGCAGUGAUAAUUUAUAAAUCCCAAUUCCAGUAAACCCUAAUAAGCUCUUCCAGUUAGGCGUUCAAUGUCUUCAAACUUGGCAUCCUCCGACGAUCUUCGGAAGCAGGUGAGAAGUCACGAGGUUGCUGUGGCGGAGAUCAAUAGUCUUUCUUCCUCUCGGGUGCAUAUGCUUUCCUCUGUUUGAAUAUUUCCGUCUACCGUUACUCUUAAAUUUUUUUAGUGUACAUGUUGAAUGAUUGUUCAUUGAUGAAUUAAUUGCCUGGGUUUUAUGGCUCGUGAAAUGUGAACAUGCUUGUCUGGUUGAUGGAGCUAUCAAAUUUGUUCUGUUUAAUUGUUUUUCCAUUCUUCUUCUUUUCAUGAGGAAUGAUUCAUAAGUACUUAAUUGUUUCAUGUGUGUUUUGUUUUUUCUUUGUAUAGAUUCCCGGCUGUUUCAUAGUUUGAUAUGUUUUAGGUCCUGAGAUUCCUGACCGUGUUUAUCAAUUAUGUGAGUAUUGAAGAAAUGCAGAGACAGUACUUUUGUUAGAGAGGGGGAUACGGAUAAUUACUUCAUUACGAAACUUACUGUUGUGGUGAUGCUUUCUUGUCAAUUUACUACCUGGAAGCCUCAUCAUGGUAUGGAAUGUGGUCAAGAAAAUUAUGGUGGCAUUUGUUGUUUCAUUUCAUAUUGAGUGUCAACUAUGGUAUUAGUGAUCAUAUGAAAGAUCAUUGUGUUGAAUAACUUUAUUCAUGAUCAUCCUUGUAUGUCUCUGGCAAACUUUGACUGGGUUUACCUUCUUUACACCCCUGCCAACCAACCCACUAAGACGGAUAGAUUCUUCUUGGGGUAACUUAUUGUUAUAUCAACCCUGAUACUUUCUCCAAACGUCUCAUUUGAUUUAUUGUUGAACGUGUGCAAAUUGAACUGGAAGUCUAUUAUAGAUUCAUGAGAUAUUAAGAAUUAUAACACGGGUGUAGAGAACUGAUCAAUCCUGUAUGGUAUAGUGUAGCAAUUUGUGGUCUAGGCUUUGCAUAAUGCAUUGCAUAGGGGACAUCUUACGGUUCUUACCCACAAGUUUUGUCAGGUGAUAUGUACAUAGCACUCCCUCCGUCCCCAAAGAAUAUGCACUUUGGGUACGGUACGAGUUUUAAUGCAAAAUUGGUAAAGUAAGAGAGAGGUAGAGAGAAAAAGUAAUUUAAGUAUUGUUAGUGGGGAAUGGGUCCCACCACAUUAGAGAGAAAAAAGUUUCCAAAAUUGGAAGAGCAUAUUCUUGUGGAACGGACUAAAAAGGAAAGAGUGCAUAUUCUUGUGGGGCGGAGGGAGUAUAUAACAAGAUGUUUGCUCUAGUACACUGUAUAGUGCUUCUUUUUAUUGGAAUAAGUCUGAAAUUCAUGGGGGGUUAAUAGGUUGAUGUGUUGGAGAUACAUCUUCUUGUGUGGGACUCGAGAACUUUACUCUGUUCCCGUGUCUUGUUUGAUAAUAGUAAUACUUGCUUUUACGGCUUAAAAUUAUUCUUCUCUGCAGGCUGUCUAUCAAAAAAAUGGCAACAUAUUUUUCCGAACAACCAUUCAGAAAGCAUCUGCAUUUGAACAAAAACAAUUGGAAGCAGCAAAAGCUAAACUCUAAAAGCUGAGUUGAUACCUUGUACCUGACUCCUAUCAUCCUCGACUUUGUGAUACUGGUUCAGGUUAAGAGAGAACGGCUUACAUCUGAACUCUGACGUAACGAUUUCAAAGACCAUCCAUAUAUAGUCUUCAUAAAAUUCCAGUACACAAGUUGUUGACUGCAGUUUGGUGGAAUACCAUGUAUUUUCUCUAUUCAAUUAUCAGUAUGCAAAACAUCUAUAUCUGAUUUCAGUUAUUACUCAUUAGUAGAAAGUGAAGAUGAACAGUUUUGCAGAUCACUAUGAAUACUUCUUCAUAGCUCAUUAAAUUUGUCAAUGUGUAGAUACUUGUAUUGCAUAUAAUAAAUAACUUUCCAAGGCAUCAA